GUCUAGCUGGCUUAGUCAGUAGAGCAUGUGACUCUUGAUCCUCAGGGUCAUGAGUUCAAGCCCCAUGUUGGGUA
rnacentral:tRNA from 1 species